rnacentral:rRNA from 1 species
GACGAACGCUGGCGGCGUGCUUAACACAUGCAAGUCGAGCGAGGCCCAUCCUUCGGGGUGGUGCCCUAGCGGCGAACGGGUGAGUAACACGUGGGCAACCUGCCCUCAGCUCUGGGAUAACUCCAAGAAAUUGGUGCUAAUACCGGAUGUGACCGCUGACCGCAUGGUCUGGUGGUGGAAAGAUUCAUCGGCUGAGGAUGGGCCCGCGGCCUAUCAGCUUGUUGGUGGGGUAAUGGCCCACCAAGGCGACGACGGGUAGCCGGCCUGAGAGGGUGACCGGCCACACUGGGACUGAGACACGGCCCAGACUCCUACGGGAGGCAGCAGUGGGGAAUAUUGCGCAAUGGGCGAAAGCCUGACGCAGCGACGCCGCGUGAGGGAUGACGGCCUUCGGGUUGUAAACCUCUUUCAGUAGGGACGAAGCGAAAGUGACGGUACCUACAGAAGAAGUACCGGCCAACUACGUG